GGGAUGGGAGGGGACAAGAGAGAGGAAUGGGACAGGAACGGGAUAAAGGGACAGGAACGGGAUAAAGGGACAGGAGAGGGACAGGAGCAGGACAUGAGGACAGGAGCGGGACACGACAGAGGGACAGAGGGACAGAGGGACAGAGGGACAGAGGGACAGAGGGACAGAGGGACACAGGGACACAGGGACAGAGGGACAGAGGGACAGAGGGACAGAGGGACACGCUUCCCUACCAACCCGAAAUUCCCGACAGCAGCAGCCCCGGCGCUGUCCCUGGGCUGUCCCCCAUUGUCCCCAGGUUACCCCAGGCUGUCUCUGUCUAUCCCAGGCUAUCCCGGGGUUGUCCCCGUUUUGUCCCU
rnacentral:lncRNA from 1 species